ensembl:lncRNA
CUUAUUACUAUUGCAAUUUAUUUAUUUAUAUUGUGGUUAUUUGAUCUUCCUUGGGAACACCGUGUUGUUCUAGAAUUGUCUUUCUCUGAGUGUAUGGCAUGCAUACUGAUAAUAUACACAAUGAUUUUAGUGGAUACUUUGAUGAAUUUGAAAUAAUGUAAUAGCAUAUAUACUUAUUUUUAGAUGUAUGAGAAAACAUAUGUAGAGUCCUCAAAUCCCUGAUUUAUUCCUGAAAACAAAAUUAAGAAAUGAAAUGGGAGUUGAUUUAAAGUAUUUUUUAUGACCGAGUAAAUAAUAAUAUAAAUAAUACUCAGAUCUGGACAAAAAUUAUGAACGUGGUAAGUGACUGCCUAAAUUUUGGGCAGUGUGGUAAUAUUUCCUCGUCAUAAUCUAUCGUGGUUUAUGACAGGGAUGAAAUAGGUUGGGCAACUUCCUUCUCAUUUGGCAAAUUGGCAAAAAAGAAAGUUUUGCCUGAAUGGAACCCCAAAUGAAAGUGUUUGUAGCAGAAAAUGCUAAAGUGGGGGGACAGAAAGAGAGUGGAGAUGGGGGAACAAAUGGGGAACAAGCAUGAAACUGGGGUUCUGGUUGUAAUAGCACACUUGCAUGCCAGGCUGGUAAGCAGAGGAAAUAUGAUUUUGGAGCCUGGACCAGUCAAACCUUUAAAACCUCCCAAGAAAAGAGCUUUGGUGGGUCUGAGACUGUGCAAUCGCCAGCCACAACUGAAUGCUUUAUUGCCGUCUGGAAGUGUUUAUUUUCUGAACAUAAAUUCAGGGGACAGAUUCAAGGCAUGUCUAGAAAUAAAGCAUAUCAUCAUGUGAGCUGAGCUGACAAGGACAAUUUACUGUACCCUGCAUUUGUUCUGGGCCAAUCGGAGGAGAGCGGGCGAUUAACAUUCUAAAAUCCCUGCUGUUCAGUUCUGAUUGUCCCUUCACUGAACUUUGGAAUGGCAUGGAUUAACCCCUUGGGGGACUCCAUUGCAGAGCCUAGAGCCCAAGAAAGGACAGUUGUUCCAGCCCUGAAGACACUGAAGACAUAUGCGGUGUUGGGAUGUUUCUGUAGCAACAGGCUGGCUGCUGAUCCUGUGCCUUUGGGGGCCCUGGGGAGGAAGGCGCAGCCCAGAGCUAAACCGUUUCCUAAAGGCUUUUGCCGAGAAAGCCAAGCUCACAAUGAAGAUUCCUAUUUCCAGGUGGUCCAUCACACAAAACUUUUGAGAACGAUAGCCCACAAAGUUUCUCCUGUUGGAAAUUUCACAAGAAAUAUUAAAACGAACACAGCAUCUUUUCUUGGACCUUCAUCUCAGUGGGAUUUUCCCUAAAGCAUACAUUGUUCCAGCCCUGCCUUUCUAUUAAAAUUAAAGUAUUGAUUUCAGAAAUUCCCCCUUGCAGAAGUUAAUGAACCACUCUCACUAUUUUUACUCUGUUGGUAUCAUGGAAAGCACAUAAGCUUUGGGGUCAGACAAACCUAGAGUUGAAUUAUGACUUCACCACAAACUAUAGGUAGGACUUGAUUUUUUUUUUAAAACCUCAGGAUCUUUAUGUGUAAAAUAGCUGAUCACCCAAGAUUGCUGCUAGGAUUAAACAGACUCAUGUAAGCAAAGUUCUUGAUACAGUGCGUGGUCCAUUGUAAGUGCUCAGCAACUCUAUGCUGAUUAAAUGAUCUGUAGGUGCUAUGGAAGUCAGAAGCCCAGGAAAAUGAGAUGGAACAAAAUGGUGCACCUUGAAAAGCUAUGCUUGGUUCUAUCACCUCGGGUUUUCUGGCACUCCCCUACCUCCUUCUCCCUUUUCCCCUCAUCUGCUUUCCUAAAGCUUUGUCUAUCUUCAUAGUUUAUACGCCUCCUGCUCCCCCCCCCAUUGUGUUUUAUUUGCCACCCAUUCUUUACCCUCCUCUGGCUGUUUGGUGCCCAAGAGUGAGCCUAGAAGGGGGGCUUGCCAAGUAUGUCUCUCCAUCUCCCUCCCCAGAUUAAACUCAAGCUCUAAUUUCACAGACCAGGUUCAUUUUCUCCAGCUCCAUAGGACCUGCGUGCUGUAAGGAGCUGGUUUGUUGCUAAUGAGAAUCAGUGACCCUGGCCUGAUUCCAAAGUUUAGAAGAAGACAGAGCUACCUGUCCUAGCAUUGCCUGGUAGAUGAUAUUGUUACUUUUCUUCUGGCUGCCUCUACUUCCUGACAGAAUUAGUCCAUUU